AUUGAACGCUGGCGGCAGGCCUAACACAUGCAAGUCGAACGAGUGGCGGACGGGUGAGUAAUGUCUGGGAAACUGCCUGAUGGAGGGGGAUACCUACUGGAAACGGUAGCUAAUACCGCAUACCAUCAGAUGUGCCCAGAUGGGAUUAGCUAGUAGGUGGGGUAACGGCUCACCUGGGCGACGAUCCCUAGCUGGUCUGAGAGGAUGACCAGACACACGGGAACUGAGACAAGGGCCAGACGCCGACGGGAGGCAGCAGUGGGGAAUAUUGCACAAGGGGCGCAAGCAUGAUGCAGCCAUGCCGCGUGUAUGAAGAAGGCCGUCGGGUGGUAAAGUACUUGCAGCGGGGAGGCGUUACCCGCAGAAGAAGCACCGGCUAACUCCGUGCCAGCAGCCGCGGUAAUAC
rnacentral:rRNA from 1 species